CCUACGGGAGGCAGCAGUGAGGAAUAUUGGGUAAUGGACGCAAGUCUGAACCAGCCAUGCCGCGUGCAGGAAGACGGCUCUAUGAGUUGUAAACUGCUUUUGUACGGGGGUAAACGCAGAUACGCGUAUCUGUCUGAAAGUAUCGUACGAAUAAGGAUCGGCUAACUCCGUGCCAGCAGCCGUGGUAAUACGGAGGAUUCAAGCGUUAUCCGGAUUGAUUGGGUUUAAGGGGUGCGUAGGCGGUCGGAUAAGUUAGAGGUGAAAUCCCGAGGCUCAACUUCGGAAUUGCAUCUGAUACUGGUCGGCUAGAGAGUAGUUGCGGUAGGCGGAAUGUAUGGUGUAGCGGUGAAAUGCUUAGAGAUCAGACAGAACACCGAUUGCGAAGGCAGCUUACCAAGCUACUUCUGACGUUGAGGCACGAAAGCGUGGGGAGCAAACAGGAUUAGAUACCCUUGUAGUC
rnacentral:rRNA from 1 species